rnacentral:rRNA from 1 species
UACGUAGGGUGCGAGCGUUGUCCGGAAUUACUGGGCGUAAAGAGCUCGUAGGUGGUUUGUCGCGUUGUCCGUGAAAACUCACAGCUUAACUGUGGGCGUGCGGGCGAUACGGGGCAGACUGGAGUACUGCAGGGGAGACUGGAAUUCCUGGUGUAGCGGUGGAAUGCGCAGAUAUCAGGAGGAACACCGGUGGCGAAGGCGGGUCUCUGGGCAGUAACUGAUGCUGAGAAGCGAAAGCGUGGGGAGCGAACAGG